CAGUAGCUACUGUCACAUUACCAUCUUUAUAAAGGAUCCCAAACAUUGCCGAGUCAAAACAGUCUGGCUUUGGAGAGGCCAAGUAUGAUUUUAGGAUCAAUUAACAUAUGAAAAUCUGUUCUUUAACAGGUUCAGCUUUCUACUGUUUUACAAAGCAGGAAUAUAGCUGAAGACUUGUAUGUUCUUCCAGCUGCUGGUUUGCAACUGGCACCAAGGAAAAGAAGAGGGCAGCAAGCAGCAAUUACAUACUGGAGCAUGAGAAGGAAACAAAAAAUGAAACAGUAGACAAGAAACCAGCUGGAAGGUUAAGUGAUAAUCAACUUGGAUAAGGUAUACAACGAUGAGAAGAAAAGGCUAUUAUUUCAGGGCAAUGUGGAAAGGAAGACAGCACCCAAUCUGAUGCUACUUCAGCCUGAAUAGCCUCCACUGAUGCUUCAACUGAACAGGAGGAAAUGGGAACACUCACACAGUUUCUGCUUGUGAGGUCUGUAAAAUCUCAAGUUUCUGCAGCAACAUUUGUAAGAGGUGAUGUGGUCAAGAGCUAAGUCAUCAAGGUUCCACAUACUAAGCAAUGAGGUUUUUACUUUAUCAAGAUGCAAUGCUUAAAUACACAAAGCACAAUUUAUUAAUCUUUA